rnacentral:rRNA from 1 species
UGGCGGACGGGGGAGUAACGCGUGGGUAACCUGCCUCAUACAGGGGGAUAACAGUUAGAAAUGACUGCUAAUACCGCAUAAGACCACAGCACCGCAUGGUGCAGGGGUAAAAACUCCGGUGGUAUGAGAUGGACCCGCGUCUGAUUAGGUAGUUGGUGGGGUAACGGCCUACCAAGCCGACGAUCAGUAGCCGACCUGAGAGGGUGACCGGCCACAUUGGGACUGAGACACGGCCCAA